UCAUCUUCCGAUAGAGGUAUCUCAGAGUAUGUUAUGUGCUCGUGGAUUUGCGGCAAGCUUUGAUGAUGAUUCAGUACUUUUGUAAAAUGAAGGCCUAAUUUUGUUCAUUAAUAAUGUUGAUGUGAAAGUUACAGUUGAUGUUGUGAACAUCGUAUUGUAUGCAAAACGUGUAUUAUAUGUUGCGUUUUCGUCAAAGACAAUGUAUAAUUUGCUUGUAUAUUAAUAAAGAGAGCCCUUUCUUUACAUUGUUACGUCUUAUAGUAAAUAUAUCUGUAUAAUUCAUUAUAUUCAUGCACCACUUUUAGCUGUAUUACACUAUUAGCACAUAUUUUACACUAUUAUUUCCGACGAUGUUGCACUUUUACAUUCAUAUUAUAAAAAAUUCAGAGAAAAUCUUACACUGUUUUUUGGCCACUUGCAGUACUUAGGAAACAAUGUUACAAAUAAUUUUAAAAAAGUUCUUG
rnacentral:lncRNA from 1 species